rnacentral:rRNA from 1 species
CGUACACUCCUACGGGAGGCAGCAGUGGGGAAUAUUGCACAAUGGGCGCAAGCCUGAUGCAGCCAUGCCGCGUGUAUGAAGAAGGCCUUCGGGUUGUAAAGUACUUUCAGCGGGGAGGAAGGUGUUGAGGUUAAUAACCUCAGCAAUUGACGUUACCCGCAGAAGAAGCACCGGCUAACUCCGUGCCAGCAGCCGCGGUAAUACGGAGGGUGCAAGCGUUAAUCGGAAUUACUGGGCGUAAAGCGCACGCAGGCGGUCUGUCAAGUCGGAUGUGAAAUCCCCGGGCUCAACCUGGGAACUGCAUUCGAAACUGGCAGGCUAGAGUCUUGUAGAGGGGGGUAGAAUUCCAGGUGUAGCGGUGAAAUGCGUAGAGAUCUGGAGGAAUACCGGUGGCGAAGGCGGCCCCCUGGACAAAGACUGACGCUCAGGUGCGAAAGCGUGGGGAGCAAACAGGAUUAGAUACCCGGGUAGUCCCA